UUAGUCACAAUGGGAGCCCUUCAGCUUCUCCCCAAACAGAGAAGUAAUAAUGAACAACAUUUGCAGACAGAAAUUUCUUAUGUGGGACGGAGGGGGCAUGAACAGACUGAUACUAACUGCUACUGCAAACCACUUUUUGGUGCUAGCUCAUGACAACCAGAAAUGCUACUUCCCCUUUCCUGAGGUACUCUGCAGAAUUAGAGAGUUCCUGACUGUUUCCAUUCUUUUAUUUACCCUGGGAACCAAACAACUGACCUAGCCACAAUGACACAUCAUGAUGACAAUACUCUCUUCUGGUUGCUCCGACAGAAGAAUUGAUUCAUACUCUCAAAAACAGAAGAAAAAAAUUAUUAUGGAAAAAGAAAUUAGUAACAGUAUAUGCGCAAAAAAUCUUUUGCAUAUAAACAAGUUUACAGUGCCUCAAAA